UCCACGUUAGCGGUGACGAGCGCGUCGGCCUGUUGGGGCGUUAUGGGCGUGACGAGCGCCGGCUGUUGGGCCACCGCUGCCGGCGUUGGUGGGCCUCCCGCCGGGAAUUGGCCCAUCAUCGACUCCAUCUGGGUCUGCUGUACGAUGGCGUUGACCAGCGGGCUCGCCACCUCGCGCGCCGCCGUCGCGAUGACCUCGUCGACCCUCUGCUGGCCCUCGCGGAUGAGCGGAUCGUCCGAGGGUUCAGGCGACAACAUCUCGCGCUCGAGUUCCUCGAUGGUCAUCGCGCCGCCUCCCUGAGCGCGGAUUUGGUUGGCGAUCGCAGUGAGUGGGUCGACGGAAACGUUGGACGCCUCGACGGCGGCCUGGCCCAGCCCGCGCGCCGCCGCCGGGGUGAGAGCCACAAAGGGCGCAGCGGCUCCGGGCUGCGGCGGUGCCGCGGGCAACAGCACGGCGUUGGAGAUGGCGGGCGGGGCACCGGCGAUAUUGACGCCCACCAUGUAGUGUUCGUGCUCGUACUGUGUGGUAAGGGCGAGGCUGCGCAGGCCCUCGCUCAAGCGGCCGGCUGCGGUGCCCGGACCGCGCCGCCGCUCCUGUUCCAUGCGCUCAAACAGGCGCCUGGUGAAGCCGCCCCAGCGCUCGUUGAUGGCCUCGGCGCAGAUGCUGUACCGCGCCGGACCCAUCUCGCCGUCGGGGUAUUCGACCUGCACGUCAGGCGGCGCGUUGGGAUCCUGACCGGCGUUUCGAAAGAAAUCAAUCAUCUGCUGCGCGCUGAUCGGGCCGGGCGUAGCCGACGCCAGGCGCACCUCGCGCUCAAUGCGCUGGUACUCUUCUUCGUAGGACUCGGGCGGUAUGUUAAACUCCCCGAGGGUGCUCUCAAUGUCGGCAAAGAGGGCCGCCUCCUCUUCGGGGGUCAGCUGCGGGGGGACGCCUGCCGCGCCCGGCGCGCCGAGACGAGGUCCAAAUGUGGCAGGCGGCUGUGCGGUCAGCGGCGGCACCUGCCCGACACCCGGCGGCCUCGGCGCCAACCGCGGCAGCGCAGUGCGUUGUUCUCGCGGAGGGCGAAUGGGUGCCGUGCUCACAGAGCGCGCGGCCCCUGUCGUGGCCGCACGACCUCCGCGUGUGCCGACGACCGGGGUCGGGGGACCUCGUGGCCCCUGUUGCUGCGCCUGUUGCGCACGACGCGCUGCCUCGGCAAUGUUGACGUUCAUGUCGAUGAGUGAUUAUCUACCGGUGACGACGCUCCGUGUCGCCUCGCCUUGGGUGUUGUCUACGCCUCUUUGGCUCUGGCACCUGUUGCUUUUUUUACCUUGGCUUGUCUCUGUUUUCUGGGCGAGACGGUCGGUCUGCAGACGGCGCGCGCGGAUGCCGUCGACGUUGAUGUGCUUUGGCUGGAGCGAGAGGAAAAAAAGAGAGACAGAGGAAAAGGAGCGCCGAGGUGGAGACGCACGCAGGAGGGGAAGGGCUGGCCCUGUUUCCUUCGUGGCUACGCCGGAAUGAGCCGCGCGCCGUCUCGACACGACGCUUGCCACAGUGCUCCGGACCGUGCGCGCUUUGGGAUGAUGGUGCGCGCACGACCGGAGCGCCUUCGCCCCUACGGUGCGCCGUGUCGGUUUUUCUCCUCUAUGACGCCCACCAGAGAAAAGAAGCGCACUUUCCUUUUCUUAUUUUUUUUCGGCCAUGCACGCCGCAGCGCGCCAACAACCAAAAGGGAAAAGAAACAAGCGCGUAUCUCUC
rnacentral:lncRNA from 1 species